rnacentral:lncRNA from 1 species
AAGGAUGAUUACAUUGAACUUCGAAUCAAUGACCAGCUUGCUCGUUUGUACAUCAUUCCAGGAAUUCCAAAAGACACAAAAUUUAACCCAAAAACUAGAAGAGAAAUUCGGAACAUUGAGUGGUUCUCUAUUGAGAAAUUGCCUUGUCAUAGAAAUGAUAUGACCCCCAAAUCCAAACUUGGUUUGGCACCUAACAAAUUUUUUAUGGCCAUUCCCUUUAUCAGACCAUUAAGGGACUGGCUUUCUCGAAGAUUUGGCGAUUCCUCAGACAGUGACAAUGGAUUUUCCUCAACUGGUAGCACGCCGGCUAAACCCACUGUGGAAAAAUUGAGUCGAACCAAAUUCCGCCACAGUCAGCAGUUAUUUCCUGACGGUUCUCCUGGUGACCAGUGGGUAAAGCACAGGCAACCACUGCAGCAAAAGCCAUAUAAUAAUCAUUCUGAAAUGUCUGACCUUUUAAAAGGAAAGAAUCAAAGUAUGAGGGGAAAUGGCAGAAAACAGUAUCAAGAUUCACCUAAUCAAAAGAAAAGAACAAAUGGGCUUCAGCCAGCAAAGCAGCAGAAUUCUUUGAUGGUAAGAGUUAUAGCUGUCACACUAAGUAGGCAGUUCAUCCUCUGAAGAGUGAAACAAGGGCAUUGCCAAAGCACAGGAAUGUUACUUGUUUUGUUCUUAUUUUAAUUGAUAUACUAGUAGGAUUUUUGUGUAGCUGACUUGUGCACUAUUCACACUAAAAAUCUCUGGCUGCUCUUAAUUACAAAUGUAUAAUGUUGAUGCAAUUGUACAUCUAAUUUUUUAUGUGGCUGUUUAUUUUAAUAUCAAUGUGUACUCAAACCUGUUC